UGCUUGUCAUUUUCCUUCUGGUCUGGAGUAUUAAUAUAUUUUUUCAUACUGUUUGAUGGUGUGGAUUUGUGCCUCUGCAUAGUGAUAGAGUUUAGUUUCUG